CGGGGUUUCCGUAGGUCAGCUUUGCCUACCACAGCAGCUCAGGCUGCUAGUCUCUCUAGCAGAGGCGACAUUUUCAAACUGCGGAAAGACCCUCCCCGAGGGAAAUCCGCAACCACGCAGCUUACCCGGCGUUCAACUUACCCGGCGUUCGAUGUGGUUCAGAGACUUAAUGAAAAUGGGUUCGGCUUCGGCUGGAUUUGAGAUAAAGCCCACCCUUGCUGGCAACUCCAGGGAAUCAGUGGAACCUGCGGAAGGAUCAUUAAUGAAUACCAGGCCUCCGGGUCCUAUUCUCACCCUUUGUAUACCUAACUUUGUUGCUUUGGCGGUAAAACGCCAGAGGACCGAAACCCUUGAAUCUCUGCUGUCUGAGUACUAUAUAAUAGUUAAAACUUUCAACAACGGAUCUCUUGGUUCUGGCAUCGAUGAAGAACGCAGCGAAAUGCGAUAAGUAAUGUGAAUUGCAGAAUUCAGUGAAUCAUCGAAUCUUUGAACGCACAUUGCGCUCCCCGGUAUUCCGGGGAGCAUGCCUGUUCGAGCGUCAUUACAACCCUCAAGCUCUGCUUGGUAUUGGGCUCGCCUCCGGGCCUGCCUCAAAAUCAGUGGCGGCACCGUCUGACCUUAAGCGCAGUAAUACUCGCCGCUUGUAGGAAAGGGCGGAAGCCUGCUAGAAACCCCCACCACAUACAAGGUUGACCUCGGAUCAGGUAGGGAUACCCGCUGAACUUAAGCAUAUCAAUAAAGCGGAGGAA
rnacentral:rRNA from 1 species